UAUUAAUAACAUUUAGUUUUU
rnacentral:piRNA from 1 species